GAGACACUUUGGGCCUAAGAAAUGAAGGCCAAUUCAUGUGAAGUCAGUCCUCUUAUAACCACAGUAGGAUAGAACUUGUUUCUGAAACCUUCAGAAGGACCAGCCCCUAGACAAACAGCUCCAGUGAAGUCAGCUCUAAGGACAUAUUGAGAAAUCCCAGGACCAAAAUAAUGAGAUACGCAAUUAUGGUGGCUGGCAUGUCUCAAGAUCUGCAAUCAGCUGGAGACCCAGGAGACUUGAUGGUGUAGUUCCAGUCUGAAUUUGAAUGCCUGAGAACCAACAGAGUUGACAGUUCUUUUCCAAUGUGAACGCUAACAGGCCCAAGACCCAGGAUGAACCAGUGUUUCCGUUUGAAUCCAAAAGCAGUCAAGCAAGAGGAAUUUUCUCUUACUAGUUGAAUAAUUUUGAUCAGUUGACAGUUCUUUACUUUCAGCACUUGGAAAAUAUGUUGCUUCCUUCUUCUGCCAGGGCUUCAGGUGAGAAAUAUGUUGUCAUUUG